rnacentral:lncRNA from 12 species
UUUUGCUGUACUGGGCCAAUAUAAAUUUUAUCUGUGGAAAGAUAGAGCCUCAGCCUAACCAGAAACCUGAGCACAGAACAAGCAACAAUAAUGCUGGAUCAAAGUCAUCAGCUUCUCUCAUGAAGAUAACCAAAAGUCAUCCUGUGAUACAGCAGUACGUCCAGUAGCAGUGUGAAUAGGGUAACUACAGCUUUUACAAGGUCGGUAUCCCACUCUGAUCAGUUUUAAUUUGUUUCCUGUGGAUUUGUUUUUUAUUUUUCA